GAUGAAGAACGUAGCGAAAUGCGAUAAGUAAUGUGAAUUGCAGAAUUCAGUGAAUCAUCGAAUCUUUGAACGCACAUUGCGCCCGCCAGUAUUCUGGCGGGCAUGCCUGUUCGAGCGUCAUUACAACCCUCAGGCCCCCGGGCCUGGCGUUGGGGAUCGGCGGAAGCCCCCUGCGGGCACAACGCCGUCCCCCAAAUACAGUGGCGGUCCCGCCGCAGCUUCCAUUGCGUAGUAGCUAACACCUCGCAACUGGAGAGCGGCGCGGCCACGCCGUAAAACACCCAACUUCUGAAUGUUGACCUCGAAUCAGGUAGGAAUACCUGCUGAACUUAAGCAUAUCAAUAAGCGGAGGA
rnacentral:misc_RNA from 1 species